UCCUGAGUGUGCAUGAGUGCGUGUGUCAGG
rnacentral:piRNA from 1 species